rnacentral:lncRNA from 1 species
UUUUUGUAGUAAGUUUUAAAAUGUACUUGUAAUUUCGAGGCCAAUUUUGAGUACUGCCCUCUAAGAGUACAUUGUUUCAGCAGUUACUUAGCCCUUGAUUAGGUUAAUGCUUUCUUUUUGUUUAGAAAAGAAAGUAAAAGGUCUGUAAUUUUUUUUUCCUUGCCUUAGCCCCGUCGCAGAAUUUAGUCUCAAAGGAAACUUCAACCACAGCACUGCAGGCCUCUGUUGCCAGACCAGAGCUGGAGGUAAAUGCUGCCAUAGUCUCUGGACAAAGCAGUGAGCCCAAAGAGAUAGUUGAAAAGUCCAAAAUCCCAGGCCGAAGAAACUCCCGAACUGAAGAGCCAACUGUGGCCUCUGAAAGUGUGGAAAAUGGACAUCGUAAACGAUCUUCUCGACCUGCUUCAGCCUCCAGCUCUACUAAAGACAUAACCAGUGCGGUGCAAUCCAAGCGAAGAAAAUCCAAGUAAACAAGCAGGACUGCGACUUGAUACUUGGAAAUGUGUGUGACUUUUACAAAGAGCAAUUUUGAGCUGUGACUUUUUUAAAUCAAUUUCUGUACAGUUAGUAAUUUUAAUAAUGUGGCCCUUUUCCUAGUCCCUGCAACCUGUUUCAUAAAGUGCAAUGGGGAAAGCAGGACUGUUGAGCCCUUUUGGUGUUGCGAGUUGAAGUUCAAGGUUUCUAAAAUGUUGUCUUGUAUUGAAAGGAGCUAAUGCCAUUAUAAAUGUUACUAGUUUUCACAUUUCCUAAGCAGCCUAGAGUACAGGGUGAGCAUUUUUAGAUCUCCUAAUGAUGUAUUGUGCCGUGGAAGUACUGUGUGUGAAUAGCAGUAGUGGGGGCAAAAGCAAUCUUCUCAUUUGGAAAUGUUGUAAAUAAUUUUAUUAUAUAGUGUUUUGGAUGUAUUUGUUGUAGAAAUGGACCAGUGAAUAAAGAGAAUCUAAGGAUUUGUACAAUGUGAAAUAACGUGUUAAAUAAAUGUCAUUGUCAUAGAACAUAAAGUUAUGUUAUUGGUAAGGG